rnacentral:lncRNA from 1 species
UGUAUUCGAAGUGGACGAAGAUGAUGUUGAAGGGAUUCCUGACGAGAUUUCCCGACUUCUGUGGCAAGAAAGAAAUCACUCAGCUGCAUCUCGAGAAUCAGCAGAACAGCCAACUGGGGGCAUUAUAAAAAAAAAAGAGAAAAAAGAGAAAGAGGAGGGUGCAAAAUCAAGAAAAGAAAUCAAUCAAAAUCAAAGAAUCAAAAGAAGAAAAAGAAAGGAAAAAACAAAAGAGAAAUAGCACCCUCAAAGUCCCAAGUUGACUGAUGCUGAAUUCGAUCGAAAAGAAGAGAUCAACUGCCAUGUGUUAUGGUCAGUCAUAUCAGCAAGAGUGAAAAAGCAUUUGAUAGAAGGUCAAGC